rnacentral:rRNA from 1 species
UACGAAGGGGGCUAGCGUUGCUCGGAAUCACUGGGCGUAAAGGGUGCGUAGGCGGGUCUUUAAGUCAGGGGUGAAAUCCUGGAGCUCAACUCCAGAACUGCUUUUGAUACUGAAGAUCUUGAGUUCGGGAGAGGUGAGUGGAACUGCGAGUGUAGAGGUGAAAUUCGUAGAUAUUCGCAAGAACACCAGUGGCGAAGGCGGCUCACUGGCCCGAUACUGACGCUGAGGCACGAAAGCGUGGGGAGCAAACAGGG